GGGUCCGUAGCUCAGUGGCUAGAGCGCUUACCUGAUAAGUAAGAGGUCGAUGGUUCGAUCCCAUCCGGACCCA
rnacentral:tRNA from 1 species